ensembl:snoRNA
AUCCUUUUGUGGUUUAUAAGUGUGAUAAUUAUGUUUUCACACCAUUAUGUGAGAGGCACCUCCCUCAAACCAUGUUAAAAUGUUAGCACAUUACCUGUUGGACA